rnacentral:rRNA from 1 species
GAUGAACGCUGGCGGCGUGCCUAAUACAUGCAAGUCGAGCGAACAGAUGAGGAGCUUGCUCCUCUGACGUUAGCGGCGGACGGGUGAGUAACACGUGGAUAACCUACCUAUAAGACUGGGAUAACUUCGGGAAACCGGAGCUAAUACCGGAUAAUAUAUUGAACCGCAUGGUUCAAUAGUGAAAGACGGUUUUGCUGUCACUUAUAGAUGGAUCCGCGCCGCAUUAGCUAGUUGGUAAGGUAACGGCUUACCAAGGCAACGAUGCGUAGCCGACCUGAGAGGGUGAUAGGCCACACUGGAACGGGGACACGGUCCAGACGCCUACGGGAGGCAGCAGUAGGGAAUCUUCCGCAAUGGGCGAAAGCCUGACGGAGCAACGCCGCGUGAGUGAUGAAGGUCUUCGGAUCGUAAAAAUCUGUUAUUAGGGAAGAACAAAUGUGUAAGUAACUAUGCACGUCUUGACGGUACCUAAUCAGAAAGCCACGGCUAACUACGUG